CAUCAUUUGCAUUCGUACAUCUAUUUCCGUGUAAUGCUAAUUUGUGUAGUGCUUUUGAGGUAUGUUCCGGUAUCGUUUCUUGUGCGAUUGUUGAGUGAUACAAAGUAUCGAAAUACAUAUUAGUUCUCGCGGCAGACGACAGACAACGGAUGAAAGUUGUGUAACACCAUCCGGGAGAUGUGUGAAGUUGUGCAUAACCAGCUUUUUUUUUGUUUGGCAAGGACGUCCAUUUUGGGUUGAGAUAGAUUUCUUAAUGCAUCUCCAUGAUGGCGAUGCAUCCUACUUCAUCCCGGUGCGGUGCGUGUGUCUCCGUGUGUUGGCCAUCUUUGCUCCCAGACGCGCGCAACUUAUGAAUGGGCAAACCCGUACCGACCACGCACACGGAUAUGGUGCGCCAUAUACCGAAGGCAAGCGAAUAAGGUACCAAAAGGCAGCCCGGGAAGACAGACACCCACUCCCCACGCAGAGGUAAAACAGGCCCGGGUGGGGAACCGUAGACAGGAAAACAAACAAGGAACCGCACAACAAUUCAUUCACAUCCGCCUCAUCGACAGUGUGGUGGCGGCAGGUAGCUAACCUUCUCUCAGCAACAUCCCAAAAUCGCGACCGCGGUCGGUGACAUUUCGACUGCCGGAUCUGGCCGGUGGGUGGGUGGGGAGGUGUUUCGCGCCAACACCAUUUCACACGAACCCAGCGGCCGGACGCGCGUGCUGCAGUGUGCAUUGGAUCGUGGAUCCGCUGGUGUGUGCGUGUCUCGCACACGACGCAAUGGAAGUCACGCAAUCCUUCCGCCACCAAAAUACGUGCGCGCGCGCGUGUCACACCGUUUUGCGUCACGGCGCAAAUCGUUUGACAAAUUGAGAUAUUUGAAGAGAGUGAGAGAGAGAGAGAGAGUUACAACAGCCUCAACACAAUUUAUGACGGAUCUUGUGGCGCGCAGCGUUCGGACACUUUCGAUUUCGUGCGGCACACACCCGCUUUGCGCUUUCGCUUUCGUUUGCGGCCCCCAGCCACGGAUGGCUUACGAGCGCGCGCAUGGAGACCACCUUGCAAUGCGCCGAUUUUGUGGCCCCUCGCAACUUCAAUCUUUUAUACCGACGCCACGUGUGUGUGUCAUUAGAAAAUUGCUACUAUUUGGCAUUAUUUGGGCCGCUACUGGGGAUUGCAUUUUUUUUUGCUACAAUGAUUUACGAGUGAUGUGAGCGCGGCUACCACCACCAACCUCCUGGUUGAUUUACCACCCAUGCCAACCGGCCGGGGGGAGACCAAUUAAUUUCGGCUAGGUGCGAAUCGCCCACCAAAUGCGGUUGUAACGGCGAUCGGCGGGGCGAGUCCGAUCCACGUGGGAUUAAUCGAGUGUGAAAAUAAUUGCCCCAUUUUUCCCGACUGCCUGCUUGGCCUGUUGUUUAAAUCGAAUGCCCGGCCGCGGUUUAGUGUAUCACUUAAAGUGGCGAAAUGUGAUGUUAUGUGAGGGAUGUGUUGGAGCCGGAGAAAGAGACUGAAAAGGCAUUACAAAAACGGCUUUAGCUGCAACGAUUUGUUUCGUUUGAUGUCGGUCUGGGUAGGGAAAUGCAGGAACCUUCAUGGGAGUUCCCAAGGGGGGCACAUGCUGUUGUGUCCCCAUCGUAUGCAAAUGGGCUUGCCUAUAAAAUGGGUUUUAUGUACAUUGUUUUUUAUUCCUCCACUUUCCCCUGAGGGAAUUGGCAAUCCUUAAUCCAUCAUCCGAUUAGCCGUCUCGAAUAAUCAAAAUCCGUGCUUUGUACCAUGGUCGGGAGAGUGUCCUGUAAGGGGGACACAAGUCCGUUUUUCUGCUUUUAGAGUCAUCGUUGCAUCGUUACUGGAUGGAAGCUGCUGCAAACGGUCCAAACACCGGGACAGGUCAAUCAACCUUCCUCCCUGGGGGCAACUGAACAGGGCAGACCAGAGUGAUGAACGUGAAAAAUCCGGUCAACAUCAUCCAUUUAUCUAGCUGAGGUCCUCUUUUUAGGCCGCAUUUUUGCUGCCACAUGACAUCAAAAGAAUGUCAUCAGGCCACGAUGUUGUUGUUGUUGAAUGGUCCUUCGGGGAUCUGUGCACACCACAUUGAGCGUUUAUUGAUUAGAAGAGACACAAUCAAUCUUUUUUUUUUCUGUGCAAUUUGUGCAGCAUAUUGCAAUGAAAAUCGUGUCGCUUUGUUGUUCUUUGGGCGUUACAGAAAAGCAUAGCAAAGAGCAUAACAGCAGGCUGCGGUGUGGGGUGGGAAAAGGGCUGCAUAACCGUUACGGCUUGCGGUGGUGAUAGUACGACUCACUCUCGGUAGAUGGCGGAGCAAACAGUAGGGAGUGUGGUGGUGGAACAAGCAUGUGGCUCGUUGGUCUAGGGGUAUGAUUCUCGCUUCGGGUGCGAGAGGUCCCGGGUUCAAUUCCCGGACGAGCCCGAGAUUGUGGAGAUCUUUUUUGUCGUUUUUCGACUGUGAGAGAGGGUUAUUGUUGCUGAAGGGGGAAAUUUUACUUUCUUUUAAUGUAUCCGGUUGUGUUUAACCCCUCCGCUUGUGACACACUUCUUCGUGUACGGCUUUCUACUAAGGGAGGGCCUUGCUCAUUGGCCAUCUCGCAAGGUCGUGUCGCACGCCGGGCCGGGGGUGAACUGACAAAUCACGAAAGCGAAAGAUAUGCGAUAUUAUGUACGCACCGCAUUCCUCUGCUGUAACCGGGACGAGCCCCGUUGGACAGUUGGACUGUUUUUAGGGCCACACUUUGCAUACCUGCCUUGCGCACUUUCAUCUUUCGUGUCUUUCUCUGGCUCUGUGUGCGUCAUCCCAUUUUUAACAGUUUCUCUUCUUUCGGGGAUGCUUAUCGGAAGGAAACGGAUUAACGGACCCAUGGGUGCUGCAUCCGUCACGUGGUGGCUGCUGGGAUUGGGAAUGAUUUAUAAACUCCACACACCCAACAAACUCUCUCCCCGGGGGGUGGUGGGCAGGGCUGUUGCGUGUAAUAUCCAAAUGGGAGAAUGGUGGAAAGGAUGGGAAUGCGUUUCAUCAUUUGUUAAACUGCCAUGGGUUUUCAAUUGCGCGGUUACGCGGUUGUUUGUAUAUCAUUCAUGAUUUUUGCUGGGUUCGUUCGCUUUCUUUCGCGGGUUUGUUACGCGGGGUUGCAUUUUUUCUGUUUGUUUGUUUGUGCACACACGCAAAUACGCUCAUUCUCUCUCUAUCUCUCUCUCUCUUCGCUCCCUCGCGGGUGCGGUUUUGGGCAGGUGGGUGUGUGUGCUCGCCCGUUCAAGCACAUGUGGGACCUAUCCCGGAUGUGACGGUUUCGGUCUGAUUGCCGGUGGCGUAAUCAGCUGGUUUCGAGGAAGAAGGGUGGUCAUACUUGAAGCGAUUGUUGAAGAUGGGCGUACAUAUGAUGCCAAAUGGGCGAAAAUUUGGCACUUUGGGGGCAUGGUUUGGGUUGAAGAUUUCGGUUGGCAAACGCUUUGAGAGGAUAGUUGAGGACAAAUUGCUGGUCCAUAAAGAGUGUUUAAAAAUGUAAUUUUGGGUUGUUGCUGUUGAUCAUUGAUGAUGACCUUUAAACCAGCUGAACUUCA